AACGAACGCUGGCGGCAGGCUUAACACAUGCAAGUCGAACGGUAACAGGUCUUCGGAUGCUGACGAGUGGCGAACGGGUGAGUAAUACAUCGGAACGUGCCCGAGAGUGGGGGAUAACGAAGCGAAAGCUUUGCUAAUACCGCAUACGAUCUCAGGAUGAAAGCAGGGGACCGUAAGGCCUUGCGCUCACGGAGCGGCCGAUGGCAGAUUAGGUAGUUGGUGGGAUAAAAGCUUACCAAGCCGACGAUCUGUAGCUGGUCUGAGAGGACGACCAGCCACACUGGGACUGAGACACGGCCCAGACUCCUACGGGAGGCAGCAGUGGGGAAUUUUGGACAAUGGGCGCAAGCCUGAUCCAGCCAUGCCGCGUGCAGGAUGAAGGUCUUCGGGUUGUAAACUGCUUUUGUACGGAACGAAAAGACUCUGGUUAAUACCUGGGGUCCAUGACGGUACCGUAAGAAUAAGCACCGGCUAACUACGUG
rnacentral:rRNA from 1 species